GCGAUUGAAGAUGACUAGAGGGUGUCUCACAUCCUCACGAGGCUCGACUAUGACUACAACCCGUUGGUGUCUUCGGUGAUGGGGCGCACAGAUCCCAUCUCGCUAAGUGAGUUAUACUCUCAGAUCCUUGCCUAUGAUA
rnacentral:snoRNA from 1 species